CUUAUGAAACCAAAAGAGAUGCAGUUCGAAACCCUAAAAGAACUCCGUAUACACCUUCUUCUCCAUCAUCUACACAUCUGUCUCAUCCAAAUCUGUUCACCUCUCUUCUUUUCUUCGUUGAUUUACCUUUAGGUAAUAGGUUGUUUGCUUUUUAGGGUUUAAAGCUCAGCAUUCUACAGUUGCCAGAUAUUUAGAUUUUGUUCUUCGGUACUAUUUUUCUCCUUCCUCUCUAUCUUCAUUCUAAUCCCUCCCGUUUCAUAAGUUUGCUUUUUAGGGUUUAAAGCUCAACAUUCUACAGUUGCCAGAGACUUAGAUCAAGUCCUUUGCGGCAUUGGUAAAGUUUUGGCUGAUACUUGAUAAAUGGAACAAGGUGUACUUACAGAAUGAAUGAAGGAGCACUUUGUGAUACAUUUUCUCUUGAUCAUUUGAGGAAGGAUCUUUAAAGUUUCAGGAAGAAGGCAUAAUUGGAUUGGCCACGACCACUGCAUCCAGGGUAUUGGUCAAUUGGUAUGUAUUGGAGUCAAUGAAUUCAGAGAAGUGUGAGUGUAUAUAUCACUAAACAUAUCUAUAAGAUGAAUAAUUGGAUUGGCCACGACCACUGCAUCCAGGGUAUUGGUCAAUUGGUAUGUAUUGGAGGUCAAUGAAUUCAGAAAAGUGUGAGUGUAUAUAUCACUAAACAUCUCUAUAAGAUGAAUACAUUUUUUUGUGGUGUUAUAUCUUGCUUAUAUAUGCAUCCGAUCAUACUAUCUAACUAAUUAGUAAGACAAGUGUUGACCCGUGUUCAAAUCUCUUAAAGUGAAACGAAUUAGAUUUCAUGGGACCAAUGAUGUCACCAGCUGGGAUAUGUUCAUGCUCGAUGACGAUGUAAGUAACAGUGACAUCUCUAAUAAAUUAUCCAAGUUGCAGGCUUAUUUGAGGUUUUGUAUGGAUGGUUUGAAACUGUAUGUUCCCAUUUUUAACUUCUAAUUGAGAUUAAUCGAGAGUGUGCUUACUGGCGGGACUCUUUCUGGAAAAAAAAGAGUAGAAUGGGUAAAGAGUGAUCUCUUCCAAAUUUGGAUGAUGAAACGAGGAGGGAGAGCCUCGCUGUGGUUUCCAUGGAUAAAGCCUAAAGAGUGCGCUGGGAUACCAACUGUAGUGUCGCUAUAAACCGUGUGGAGUAAUAAGAUGAUGUUUCAUCUGUCUAGAUGUUUAUCCCUUUAUUCUAUUUUCCUACGUUGAUUUCCAGUUAAGUGUAACAACAUGCACAUUAGCUAUUAAUUUUUUCGUCGAAAUUUAAAAUCUAUGUGUCGUACUAAUAAUAUAGAAAUGGAUCAUUCUUUUUGGUUUAGUUCUGAUGUGAAAUUCAGUUUUUUGUUUCUCUUUCUGCAAUUUACCUACCUUGGCGUCCUGUUGUAUUGUAAGGACAAAAAACUCCCGCUAUAACUGGAUGAAAAUCCUUUCUCUACAGUUUAUCAUUCCAAUUUUUGCUUGCCUGAUAUGUCAGGAUCACCUGGUUUGUUAAAGUUUUCUCACAAAAUUUAUUGGUGGUAGCCUGUGAGUCUUCGUUGUUUGCUGUUUAUGUUGUUGUUCGCUUCGUUUUUUUCCUUUGCUUUUUAAAUGGAUAUCAUAUAUUCUUUUUUAAUUGACAGGGACUUGGUCCACUCCGCUAACGCCAGAAACUAUGGUUCCUUGAAGGAAGCACAAUCUUAUACAUUUAAAAAGAUUUUUCGUUUAAGUUGGUCAAUGAGCUCUUCCAUGUUUUAUGGAUCGAUGGAUAUGACUUUUAAGUGUCAUUUCUCUUAAAUCUGGAGGUUUGGGAAGAAGAAGUGUUAGAUAAGUUUCUUUUAGAGUUCUUGGAGAUAAAACGGGAAUGUGAAAUUUGAAUGUCUUGCUAUUGGUUGACAAUUUGCUUGGGGAAAUCUCUGCUCAGGUUUGUCGAUUCCUGUUUCUAUUUCUCUUAUAGGUUUUUGUUUGGUCACUGCCUUUUGAAUUUUUACAAGUGAUUGGUAUAAUUUGUUCAUGUGGUCAUGUUUACCCCUUUCUUUCUCGGUAGCAAGUUUUAUGUUCAAUUGUGUUACUAUGACUUCUCAUUAUAGAUUCGUAUCAAUCAGAUUCGCAUCAAUCAGAGGUCUGUAUGAUAUUCUUUUAUUUGUAACCAAAAAUACCUUAGAGUUUUCCAAUAUUUUUUUUUGUACCCCCAAUAACAUUUUUAAAAGACUAAACCGAGCACACAAACAUUACACAUCGCAGUAUGCACUUUCACAGUGUUCACAGUGGAUAGAUGGAAGUCAUCUGUAUCAAUUUGGAGCCCAGGGACCUGAAUUCCUCCAAACUACGUAUAAAUAAGGUUCUUUAAAUGAAUUUUUAUAUCCUAAGCUGGGCGAGGCAAAGCUGAUCCACAUAAAAUCGAAAAUCCUCAGCAUGCAUCUGGACGAGGCGAGGCGAAGCCUAAUCACACCAAAUUAAAAAACCUAAGCAUGCAUCGAGACGAGGCGAAACCGAUCCACACUAAAUCAAGAAUCCUAAGC